AUUGAACGCUGGCGGCAUGCCUUACACAUGCAAGUCGAACGGCAGCACGGGUGCUUGCACCUGGUGGCGAGUGGCGAACGGGUGAGUAAUACAUCGGAACGUACCUUAUCGUGGGGAUAACGCAGCGAAAGUUGCGCUAAUACCGCAUACGCCCUGAGGGGGAAAGCGGGGGACCGUAAGGCCUCGCGCGAUUAGAGCGGCCGAUGUCUGAUUAGCUUGUUGGUGAGGUAAAAGCUCACCAAGGCGAUGAUCAGUAGCUGGUCUGAGAGGACGAUCAGCCACACUGGGACUGAGACACGGCACAGAGUCCUACGGGAGGCAGCAGUGGGGAAUUUUGGACAAUGGGGGCAACCUUGUUCCAGCAAUGCCGCGUGAGUGAAGAAGGCCUUCGGGUUGUAAAGCUCUUUUGUCAGGGAAGAAACAGCAGCUCUAACACAGUCUGCGAAUGACGGUACCUGAAGAAUAAGCACCGGCUAACUACGUGCCAGCAGCCGCCGUAA
rnacentral:rRNA from 1 species